GUACUACUUGUGUAGUACAUAUACUAAAAUUGGAACGAUACAGAGAAGAUUAGCAUGGCCCCUGUCGCAAGGAUGACACGCACAAUCGUGAAGCGUUCCAAAUUUUU
rnacentral:snRNA from 1 species